GCUAACGUAGCUUAAUUAAAGCAUAACACUGAAGAUGUUAGGAUGAACCUCAGACUGGUUUCGUAGGCA
rnacentral:tRNA from 1 species